rnacentral:lncRNA from 1 species
UUAUUUCUUAUGCAGCAGAAAUACUGCAAUCUGAUUGGUUAAUUACCCCGGUGUAAAUAACACCCUACUCUUGUUCACCCGGGGAUAAAUAAAAUUUUGCCAAAAAAAUAAAAAAAAUAAAAAAAUUUUGCUGAACAAAAAAAUAAAAUAAAAAAUAAAGUCCCCCCCCCCAAAAAAAAAAAAAAUUUGAGGAAAAAAUUUUAAAAAAUUUUAAAAAAUAUUUUUAAUUCCCCCCCCCC